rnacentral:lncRNA from 1 species
AUGUGGCCCCAGGGCUGCAGGCAGCUGGGGGCUAAGCUGGGAGGGAUGCCAUGGAGACAGGGGUGGCAAAAGGCCUGGGGUGAGGGACAGCAGGAGAAUUUGGUGAAGAGUGGGGGGGGCCAUGGAGGGCCAUGGGUCUCAAGGGGCCACCCCCGGCUGGCCUGCCCUGCUGUCCCGGGCCCCUCUGCUCCUGGAUGCAGCUUGUGCCUCCUGUCUCCCGCAGCUCGCCGGGGAGGCUGUCUUCCAUGGGAUGCUUCCAUCACUCAUCAAGACUACCCUGAGGAGGCGUGCAACACAGCGUCUGCCAGAGCCCACCAGCCGUGUGGGAAGCCUGUGGAAGGUGCUCCUCUCGCCAUGACUGCAGCACUUUCCCUGGCUCCUCUGGCUUCCACCCUGCCAGCAGAACCUCCAGCUGACUUGACCAGAAUCCCACUGGGCACCAUUGCCAUGAGCUCAGCUCCAGGUCACUCAUGUUUGCCACUUCCCACUUCAGGCCUCAGUCACAUGAGCUGUCACAUUGAGUUCCUCUACCGGUGGAACAUUAUCAAGGUCUUGUUCUUUCCCAUGUUAUCACACUUCGAGUCCCAGCAAGGGCAUGCUUCCUGCCACCAACCAGUGCCCUCAUUCUGGAGAGGCCCCACAAAUAGGGAGGGAGAGACUGAUAGCCCCUCAGUUGCCAACCCUGAUGUCCAGAAGCUGCUCGAGACAGAAAUCACGAACAGAAUACAAACGAAGGUCUGGGAAAAAGAAGAACAAGAUGAUCCAGGCACUCCUCAGAUGCUCAAAGCACCCAGUAUCACAUCUGGGCUGAAUUUCCAGUGGGGCCUACCCCUCCUGUCCUUGGAGCCUGCAGAUCUGAAAGCAUGUGAGGCUCAACUCUCUGCCCUUCCACGGUUCACUUUUUCCCCCUCUGCCACCUGUGAUUCUGGGGCCCACUUGAGAGCCGACAUUGCAGAGUUCAUGGGAAAACCUCUUGAGCCCCCUCCAGGAGAGAAACAUAAGACUUUGACAGCAAAAGCAUCAGUUCCCAGCCUGGCCUGUCCCCUCCCUGCAACCUCACCUGUUUGUAAGGAAAACCAGAAGGCCCUGGGAGAGACCCUACCUGGUGAUGGCCGUGACCUCUCAGAGGCUUCUCUGACUGCACAGGAGGGCCGGCCGCCUUCCCUGAGCUUCACAUUCAGCCUCUCGGACAGAAAUGGGCAGAGUGGGACUGUCGUGGGGGCAGAGCAAGACCGUCUACACCUGAGUCUAGGGUCAGCAAUGGCCAGGAAUGAGCCUCGGGAGGAGAGUGGGGGCGAGGCCUCACCAGAGCCCUGCUGUGGGGUGGCAACACUGGAGGGGGAGUCAGGGUCCCAGUCUUGGAGCCAGGUCCGGGGAAUAGGAGACACCCUUGGGACCCAAUCCCUCCAGAUCUUGCAAGAGAAGGAAGAGGUUUUUCGAGAAAGUCCAUUCAGAAGAAUGUUGAGAUGCUUCCUGCCAUGCUUGAAGCCCAACAAGGAUGAAGCACCAGAGGAUCCCCUUGCAAAGGCAAGCCCCCAUCAGCCACUGCCCAGAGCCAGGCACAGGUCACACACAGCUCGGCGUCAGAUGGCAGGGCUGUUCAAGCACCAUCGACAGUGA